UCCAUGCUGGAUGUGUACGAGUGGAGAGCUAGUUCUGCUCAACGUAAUCUCAUAUUUGUGCGUCUCAGUAGUUGAAUUGGUGCACUGAUUCGAACAUGGUAGAUAUCUCCCUUGAAUGGUGACAAAAGGAUUGGUAAUGUAGGGAAAUAGUACAGGUGACAAGUGACUGAAGAGUCGCAUGUUUAUUGUUGCAAAAUUCAGAUACACUGUUGGGUACAACACUAGUUACAUAUUUGACCAUGUUAAUCUUGACACUGAAUGCAAGUUAUUGUGUCAGCAAUGAUAGUGAGCACCCAGUGCCAGGCUUCUCAUAUUAUCAAUUGCUGCUUGCUAGGGAGAUGCGUGUGCUGCUGGCAUUGCCACUUCUGUGUUCCAGUGCUCGCAUUCUUUAUGAGUUGAAUUCGUUUAGAUGGUACAAGUUAUUCCAGUAAUUUUGCUUUGCUUUGUUUGUCAGCAAUAGGCCUCUGUUAGUUUGGAUGUAGUACUUGGUUUUCCAGUUGCAGCUUAAUAAGGAAUAAGGAGGCAUGUUUGCUGUUUCGGAAUUAUAACUAGCAUCAGAUUUACCAUGGUAGAUGUGUGAAAUAGCUAACUGAUCAUUUAUUGUUCACGAUCCACAUGUUGACGCGCUCUGCUAAGAAAUUCAAGUGUGGAUUUUAUUUGCUGGGCUAGUCCAUUCUGUGUAGUUGCCUUCAUUUCGGUCAGUAUUAAUCUCGCUUGUGCUUGCAAGUGGGCAUAAUUUGUUCACUGCCUUUUGUUGGAAAUGGGCCUGAUUGUUGUUUGUUCCAUCUGCUCUGCACCAUUUUAAAAGAUGCUGUGUUGUUGUGUUUCAGGUGUAGAAUAAGAUGACGACGCGGAACUCUGCUAUAUUCUUCUACUUUCUGUAUUUGUGGAGGCUGCUUGUGGAGGGUCUUGGGUGACUUGCUUUGUGGUGGCAGCCGCAUUGGCUUGCCUUGGGCUACUUUGGUGAUGCCGUUUUUGCUCUGGAGGUUCAUUUGGUAGACAGCAAUGUGAAGAAGAAGUAGAAGAAGAAGGCUCUGCUAUAUUCUUCUACUUUCUGUAUUUUUGCAACCCGCUUGGGGAGGGUCUUGGCCGACGUGCUUUUGAGGCGGCGGCUUGCCUAGGGCUGCUUUGAUGAAGCCGUUCUGGCUCUGGGGGUGCAGUUAGUAGACAACAAUGUUCUGGGUCACGCUUGGGGUCUGGCGGAGCAAUCGUGCUGCUAUGUUACUUGAAGAAAAGAAGUUUGAGAUGCUAGCCUGGUAUAUAGUUUUUUUCUGUGUGGGGCAAGCUAGCAGGCAGAGGCAGCGAACCCGUGUUGGUGCACAUGGUAAAGGUGAGCUUGUGCUUCUUCCCUUUGCUCUGUUUUGGGAUGUUAAACCUGGGCGGAGCUUGAGGUGUUUGUAUUUAAAGAGGGUUUGUGUGUGUGUAUAUAUAAUGUCGGCUGUUUGGAAUCUUUGGGGAGCUGAUUGGUUGUUGAUCUCCAUAUGUUUGGGCGUGUGCUCCUUGGGAACUUGGUGUAUGUAAUAGUAUAUUCAGCAAGAUUGUUUCUUGUUGGCAGCUGAUUAUGAUGGUAUUGGUAGUAAUGGACAUGUGUUGGGCUUUCUGGUGUGGUCCGAU